CGGGAUGUGGCUCAGCCCGGUAGAGCAUUCGCAUGGGGUGCGAGGGGUCGCUGGUUCGAAUCCAGUCAUCCCGACUA
rnacentral:tRNA from 1 species